AGUCCAAGAGGACGCGUAACGUGACGUAACACUGAGUAAGACGUGAAGUACGGCCUGACAGCGGUAGGGGAAAGGGAAAAAUAAUUUUAAAAUUCGCUGUUUGUUUUUGUCACCCUAAUUUGUAUAAACGGCAGAAAACUGUUGAUGAACCGUCUGAAGAUAGGAAGCUAGCAGCUACCACCGGCAGUCCUGCACCAGUCAAACGAUACAUCCAGCUGUUGACUACAGGGCUCUGUCCUGCAUUACAUGCCACGGAAGAACAGUGAACAUGCUCUGUGUGCUGGUACCAAUGGAAAGAGAGUGGAGGGACCGAAGUGUUGCCGUGACCAAGUUAAUCCCCGGAUAUGAUUCAGAUCAAACAAGUUUGGAACCUGAUAAAUGUCAACCGUCGCAACAUCCACAUCGACCCAGAAUUGUUCAAGCCCAGGUGGAGGCCCUUGUUCAAUUAUGGAGCAACAUACCUCAGGAGAAGACUUCCACUGUCAUUCAGGGAAUGCCCGGUGGGGUCAGUGUUUUACAUUGGGCAAAAGGACAAUACAUAAGAAACCCACUUUGCAAGAGGUCAGGACCACAAGGAGAAAUAGAAUUUCAAGAACCUGCAAAAUAUACACCUAGAGUUUCAUAGCUAAAGAUAGGAAAUGCUCCUCCUGGUUGUUUUACUAUUAUCAUUGGAAACCUGCACCUCCUGCUGAUCAUCAUCAAACUGCCAGUAUUUAAAAAAGGAUCUAAAGAUCUAAGAAUCUUAAAAUCCCAUAUGAGUGGCCUUUUCUUACAUUGCACCUUUAGACUGCUCUCAGAUGUCACAGGUUUUAAACAAUGUGGUAUGUUUAACUGGUGCAAUAUUACUAUGAUGUGUUUG